ensembl:snRNA U7 U7 small nuclear RNA
CAGUGUGACAGCUUUUAGAAUUUGUCUAGCAGGUUUUCUGGAAAGCCUUC